rnacentral:rRNA from 1 species
AGUAAUGUAUGGGGAUCUGCCCGAUAGAGGGGAUAACUACUGGAAACGGUGGCUAAUACCGCAUAAUGUCUACGGACCAAAGCAGGGGCUCUUCGGACCUUGCACUAUCGGAUGAACCCAUAUGGGAUUAGCUAGUAGGUGGGGUAAAGGCUCACCUAGGCGACGAUCUUUAGCUGGUCUGAGAGGAUGAUCAGCCACACUGGGACUGAGACACGGCCCAG